GAUGAACGCUAGCUACAGGCUUAACACAUGCAAGUCGAGGGGAAACGAUAGAGAAAGCUUGCUUUUUCUAGGCGUCGACCGGCGCACGGGUGAGUAACGCGUAUCCAACCUGCCCAUCACUUGGGGAUAACCUUGCGAAAGUAAGACUAAUACCCAAUGACGUCUCUAGAAGACAUCUGAAAGAGAUUAAAGAUUUAUCGGUGAUGGAUGGGGAUGCGUCUGAUUAGCUUGUUGGCGGGGUAACGGCCCACCAAGGCGACGAUCAGUAGGGGUUCUGAGAGGAAGGUCCCCCACAUUGGAACUGAGACACGGUCCAAACUCCUACGGGAGGCAGCAGUGAGGAAUAUUGGUCAAUGGACGAGAGUCUGAACCAGCCAAGUAGCGUGCAGGAUGACGGCCCUAUGGGUUGUAAACUGCUUUUAUAAAGGAAUAAAGUCGGGUAUGGAUACCCGUUUGCAUGUACUUUAUGAAUAAGGAUCGGCUAACUCCGUGCCAGCAGCC
rnacentral:rRNA from 1 species